CCUACGGGUGGCAGCAGUGGGGAAUAUUGGACAAUGGGGGGAACCCUGAUCCAGCCAUGCCGCGUGUGUGAAGAAGGCCCUCGGGUUGUAAAGCACUUUCAGUGAGGAAGAACGCCUGGUGGUUAAUACCCAUCAGGAAAGACAUCACUCACAGAAGAAGCACCGGCUAACUCCGUGCCAGCAGCCGCGGUAAUACGGAGGGUGCGAGCGUUAAUCGGAAUUACUGGGCGUAAAGCGCGCGUAGGUGGCUUGAUAAGCCGGUUGUGAAAGCCCCGGGCUCAACCUGGGAACGGCAUCCGGAACUGUCAAGCUAGAGUGCGGGAGAGGAAGGUAGAAUUCCCGGUGUAGCGGUGAAAUGCGUAGAGAUCGGGAGGAAUACCAGUGGCGAAGGCGGCUUUCUGGACUGACACUGACACUGAGGUGCGAAAGCGUGGGUAGCAAACAGGAUUAGAUACCCGUGUAGUC
rnacentral:rRNA from 1 species